rnacentral:rRNA from 1 species
UCGGGAAUUUUGGGCAAUGGGGGAAACCCUGACCCAGCAACGCCGCGUGAGUGACGAAGGCCUUAGGGUUGUAAAGCUCUUUUGGCGGGGAAGAUAAUGACGGUACCCGCAGAAUAAGCUCCGGCUAACUUCGUGCCAGCAGCCGCGGUAAUACGAAGGGGGCUAGCGUUGUUCGGAAUUACUGGGCGUAAAGCGCACGUAGGCGGAUUGUUAAGUCAGAUGUGAAAUCCCCGGGCUUAACCUGGGAACUGCGUUUGAAACUGAGGGGCUAGAGUGUGGAAGAGGGGGGUGGAAUUCCAGGUGUAGCAGUGAAAUGCGUAGAGAUCUGGAGGAACACCGAUGGCGAAGGCAGCCCCCUGGGCUAACACUGACGCUCAUGCACGAAAGCGUGGGGAGCAAACAGGAUUAGAUACCCAAGUAGUCCCUGAGCGGGCUGGCAAGGCGCAU